UUGCUUUAAUGGGACAGAGUGGUUUUAUGUGAAGGUCUUUGUGACAACUCAGGAAGAAACAAUCAAAAGGAAAACUGUUUUUACAGCUUGUGACAAGGUAAUACCAAUAAAUAGGAAUGGCGCCUUGAUCGUUCAUCCCAGAGACCCUGAUACUUAGUUUGACUGUAUAAUUUAUCGUCCAAACCAAGAUUUUUUUUUAGGGAGCAAAAGGGGGUGCAAUUAACAAUUACGCUGGAACAACAGGUGUGAAUUAGAACAUUUCAGGCAAACGGGAUAAAUGAUCACCGUACUAAUACUAGAAAGGAGAAGGAUUAAUUAUAAGAGAAGAACACUGACAUGGGGCAGGUUUCUAAUUAAUAUUUAAUAUGGAAAGGAAUUUUUUAAAGGAGUUUAAUACAUGCUCAUUUUAACUAUAGAGGUUGAUGAUAUCCCAGUCAUAUCCUCUUUGUACUGAUCAUUAAAUCAGUGAGUCUUAUCUUGUUAAAUGGUAGGUUAUUUUAUAUAUUUCAGACACAUUGAAAGGAACAUUGAUUUUUUUUAACCCUGAAAACCAAUUAGUAGAGCAUAAUAAUGCCCUUGUCUCCUGAACAUGAAUGCCCAUUCCAUUGGGGAGUAACCCACUUACCUGGAAAACAGGAGUUUUCAAUCUAUCUUUUUGGAUGUGUCGCGUCUUAAAGGACGGUUAUCUUGGAAAAGGGAUUUGAUGUUGGUGUUGAAGAAAGCUCAUCAAUGGCUUGGCAAGAAAUAAGAGAUGAAGAGUUCUGGAAGCCUGUAAAGAAAAGCUCAUAGAAGAGAACAGAUUGUUCCUGGACUUCAAGCUGCUGUGCCUCCCUUGAGGACUCUCAAGAUUUCCAAAACCUUCAAGUUUUUUCGCAUGGCUGCUUCUUCCUCAUAUCCUCGACUCCUGCUCCGUGACUAAUACGGACACCAGUGUAUCUGCAAUGAACUUAUACAAUUCCCCUGCCCUGGAUGAACCACACCCACGGGGAAUUCAGGAAGCAGAGCAGGGGCAAUGAUUAACACCAAGAAACCUUACAUUCAGGUCAGCAGAUGAAGGCAACAGAUCAAGUCUGUGACUCU